rnacentral:snRNA from 1 species
CUACUCCGAUAUUCCAGCUCC